CGUCUGUAGCAAUACAGAUGGCGCACGGCGCACGGGUGCGUAACACGUGGGUAAUCUGCCCUUCGAAGGGGAAUAACUCGCCGAAAGGCAAGCUAAUUCCGCAUAACAUUCCGAGGACUUUGGUUCUUGGACUCAAAGGCGUAAGUCGUCGGAGGAGGAGCCCGCGCACGAUUAGCUAGUUGGUGAGGUAACGGCUCACCAAGGCUAUGAUCGUUAGCUGGUCUGAGAGGAUGGCCAGCCACACUGGAACUGAGACACGGUCCAGACUCCUACGGGAGGCAGCAGUGGGGAAUCUUGCACAAUGGGCGAAAGCCUGAUGCAGCGACGCCGCGUGGGGGAUGAAGCUUCUCGGAGUGUAAACCCCUUUCGACCCGGACGAAUGCCCCGCAAGGGGACUGACGGUACGGGUAUAAGAAGCCCCGGCUAACUACGUGCCAGCAGCCGCGGUAAGACGUAGGGGGCCAGCGUUGCUCGGAAUUACUGGGUGUAAAGGGUUCGUAGGCGGUGUGGCAAGUCGGGAGUGAAAUCUCUAGGCUCAACCUAGAGUCUGCUUCCGAAACUGCUGUGCUU
rnacentral:rRNA from 1 species